rnacentral:rRNA from 1 species
AGUAGCGGCGAGUGAAGCGGGAAGAGCUCAAAUUUGUAAUCUGGCGUCCUUCGGGCGUCCGAGUUGUAAUCUAUAGAAGUGUUUUCCGUGCCGGACCAUGUCCAAGUCCCUUGGAACAGGGUAUCAAAGAGGGUGACAAUCCCGUACUUGACAUGACCACCGGUGCUCUGUGAUACACUUUCUACGAGUCGAGUUGUUUGGGAAUGCAGCUCAAAAUGGGUGGUAAAUUCCAUCUAAAGCUAAAUAUUGGCGAGAGACCGAUAGCGAACAAGUACCGUGAGGGAAAGAUGAAAAGCACUUUGGAAAGAGAGUUAAACAGUACGUGAAAUUGUUGAAAGGGAAACGAUUGAAGUCAGUCGUGUUCUUUGGACUCAGCCGGUUCUUCCGGUCUAUUUCCUUUGAACGGGUCAACAUCAGUUUUGUCCGGUGGAUAAAGGCAGGAAGAAAGUGGCUCCCUCGGGAGUGUUAUAGCUUUCUGUCACAUACACUGGAGGAGACUGAGGACUGCAGCUCGCCUUUUGGCCGGGGUUCGCCCAC